rnacentral:rRNA from 1 species
AGUCUGACGGAGCAACGCCGCGUGAGUGAUGAAGGCUUUCGGGUCGUAAAACUCUGUUGUUAGGGAAGAACAAGUGCUAGUUGAAUAAGCUGGCACCUUGACGGUACCUAACCAGAAAGCCACGGCUAACUACGUGCCAGCAGCCGCGGUAAUACGUAGGUGGCCAGCGUUAUCCGGAAUUAUUGGGCGUAAAG